GAGAUCAUAGUUAAUUUAUAAGAACACGUUUCGAUCGACGAACAGGGCGGAGCAAUUAAUGGCGGGCUUAAGAGGAUGCUCCGAACGUGUCGAAGAUGGUGGUGUGGAGCGGGUCGCUCAGGUGGGUGGCCCAGUUGUUGAGCGGCCCCUUGCCGGUGGCGGCGGCCUGCACGGCGAAUCCGAGGAAGGCGACCAUGGCGAGGCGCGCGUGCUUGAUCUCCGCCAGCUGCAGCCGCUCCUUCUUCUCCGGGUCGGCCGCCAGGCCGAGCGGGUCGAAGUAGGAGCCGCCGGGGUACAGCCUCUUCUCCGG
rnacentral:lncRNA from 1 species